rnacentral:rRNA from 1 species
UACGUAGGGUGCAAGCGUUGUCCGGAAUUAUUGGGCGUAAAGAGCUCGUAGGCGGUCUGUCGCGUCGGAUGUGAAAAUCCAGGGCUCAACCCUGGACCUGCAUUCGAUACGGGCAGACUAGAGUUCGGUAGGGGAGACUGGAAUUCCUGGUGUAGCGGUGAAAUGCGUAGAUAUCUGGAGGAACACCGGUGGCGAAGGCGGCAUCCUGGACCGGUAUUGACGCUGAGGCGCGAAAGCCAGGGGAGCAAACGGG